rnacentral:ncRNA from 1 species
UAAAAAACAAUGAGAAAGACGAGUAGCCAGCCGCAUUCGUGCAGUGACUUGGGGUUAGUGCGAACCCAAGCGACCCUGGACUGGUGAAAAACCCUUUCGGAUGUUGCUGCCCCAAACGCAAAGCGAAGUAGGCGCAGCCGUUACCGGAACGUUACCCCCGGCAGAGUAUGUUAGUACUCUUAUUUGAGGUGGCUUGGGUCAGACCCCCAAGCAACUAGGGUGGUACCGCGGAAAGAAGCCUUUCGUCCCUUGG